rnacentral:tRNA from 1 species
GUCGUGUUCGUCUAGCGGUCUAGGACUCCCGCCUUUCACGCGGGCAACACGGGUUCGAGUCCCGUACACGAUGCCA